GGUCGCUUAGCUCAGUGGAUAGACUUUCGGGUCAGAGCAUUCCAAGCGUAAUGGGAAGGUCCCGGGUUCGAGUCCCGGAGCAGCCA